ACUCCUACGGGAGGCAGCAGUAGGGAAUUUUUCACAAUGGACGAAAGUCUGAUGAAGCAAUACCGCGUGAGGGAAGACGGUUUUAGGACUGUAAACCUCUGUUAUAAGGGAAGAAUAUGUCGGAGAGGAAAUGCUCCGUGCAGUGACGGUACUUUAUUAGAAAGUCACGGCUAACUAUGUGCCAGCAGCCGCGGUAAUACAUAGGCGGCAAGCGUUAUCCGGAUUUAUUGGGCGUAAAGAGUGCACAGGUGGUUAUAUAAGUUUGAUGUUAAAGACCGAAGCUCAACUUCGGUUCGCAUUGAAAACUGUAUAACUAGAAUGCAGGUGGGAAUAGUGGAAUUCGAUGUGUAGCGGUGGAAUGCAUAAAUAUAUCGAGGAACACCAGUGGCGAAGGCGGCUAUUUGAACUGUAAUUGACACUUAAGCACGAAAGCGUGGGGAGCAAAUAGGAUUAGAUACCCUAGUAGUCCACGCCGUAAACGAUCUAGAUUAGAUGUCGGAAUUAUUCGGUAUCGCAGCUAACGCAUUAAAUCUAGCGCCUGGGUAGUACGCACGCAAGUGUAAAACUCAAAGGAAUUGACGGGGACCCGCACAAGUGGUGGAGCAUGUGGUUUAAUUCGAUGAUACGCGAAAAACCUUACCUACGCUUGACAUACUUGGCAAAACUAUAGAGAUAUAGUCGAGGUUAACCAAUGUACAGGUGGUGCAUGGUUGUCGUCAGCUCGUGUCGUGAGAUGUUUGGUUAAGUCCAGCAACGAGCGCAACCCCUAUCCUAUGUUACCAGCAUUAAGUUGGGGACUCAUGGGAGACUGCUAGGGUAACCUAGAGGAAGGUGGGGAUGACGUCAAAUCAUCAUGCCCCCUUAUGCGUAGGGCUACACACG
rnacentral:rRNA from 1 species